rnacentral:rRNA from 1 species
AGAGUUUGAUCCUGGCUCAGGAUCAUUGCUGGCGGCAUGCCUAAUACAUGCAAGUCGAACGAGGGUCCUUCGGGACUCGAGUGGCGAACGGGUGAGUAACACGUAGGGAACCUGCCCGUGCGACCGGGAGAACUUUCGGAAACGGAAGCUGAUACCGGAUAGGGACAGAGACGGCAUCGACUCUGUGUUAAAGGAGCUGAAAGGCUCCGCGCACGGAUGGACCUGCGGUGCAUUAGCUAGUUGGUGAGGUAACGGCCCACCAAGGCGACGAUGCAUAGCCGGCCUGAGAGGGCGGACGGCCACACUGGGACUGAGACACGGCCCAGACUCCUACGGGAGGCAGCAGUAGGGAAUUUUCGUCAAUGGGCGCAAGCCUGAACGAGCAAUGCCGCGUGAACGAGGAAGGUCUUCGGAUCGUAAAGUUCUGUUGAAGGGGAAAAAGAGCGGAGAGAGGAAAUGGUCUCCGAUUGAUAUUACCCUUCGAGGAAGUCACGGCUAACUACGUGCCAGCAGCCGCGGUAAUACGUAGGUGGCGAGCGUUAUCCGGAAUGAUUGGGCGUAAAGGGUGCGUAGGCGGCCUGCUAAGUCUGGAGUGAAAGGUACCGGCUCAACCGGUACAGGCUCUGGAAACUGGCGGGCUAGAGAGCAGGAGAGGGCGGUGGAACUCCAUGUGUAGCGGUAAAAUGCGUAGAUAUAUGGAAGAACACCAGUGGCGAAGGCGGCCGCCUGGCCUGUUACUGACGCUGAGGCACGAAAGCGUGGGGAGCAAAUAGGAUUAGAUACCCUAGUAGUCCACGCCGUAAACGAUGAGGACCAAGUGUUGGGGAAGACCCAGUGCUGCAGUUAACGCAGUGAGUCCUCCGCCUGGGGAGUAUGCACGCAAGUGUGAAACUCAAAGGAAUUGACGGGGGCCCGCACAAGCGGUGGAGUAUGUGGUUUAAUUCGAAGCAACGCGAAGAACCUUACCAGGCCUUGACAUAGGGUGCGAAGCUGUGGAGACAUAGUGGAGGUAAACAUCCAUACAGGUGGUGCAUGGUUGUCGUCAGCUCGUGUCGUGAGAUGUUCAGUUAAGUCUGGCAACGAGCGCAACCCUCGUGAUGUGUUACCAAUAUCGAGUUAGGGACUCACAUCAGACUGCCGGUGAGAAACCGGAGGAAGGCGGGGAUGACGUCAAAUCAUCAUGCCCCUUAUGGCCUGGGCUACACACGUACUACAAUGGCGGCGACAGAGGGCAGCGAGCCUGCGAAGGCAAGCGAAUCCCAAAAAAGCCGUCCCAGUUCGGAUUGGAGUCUGCAACCCGACUCCAUGAAGUUGGAAUCGCUAGUAAUCGCGGAUCAGCGUGCCGCGGUGAAUACGUUCCCGGGCCUUGCACACACCGCCCGUCAA